rnacentral:misc_RNA from 1 species
GCUCAGCUUAUUAAUAGUUAAUUAAUUAUUAAGCUAAAUUAAGCUCUGUUUCCAGACGGUUCUUCCGUCAAAUCGGGCUCAUUGUUGGGCAGGCAAGGGAAAGGGCUUUAAACAAGUGCUUUGAUUUGUGAAAUUGAAACCAUCAUCAUCAAUCAAUGGCCGUUUCUUUCUCUAACCACUCUCUCUUAACCCCUCCACCUCCGCGCCUCUUCGCUUCAUUCCCUGCAAAACCCUCCAAAACCCUAGAAACUAAAACUCUAUUGCCUCUCCAAUCUCUCCAUCAUAGACGUCGUCUUUCCAAUCCUAUCAUUGGAUUACCUCUCUCCAAUUCCUCUCCACUCACAAACUACUACUUCCAAUCGCGUUCCUUCAAAGCUUACCUUGCCGCCGAAGAUUCUGCACCUACUACAAAUGACAAAGAGGAGAAUCAUCAAAAUGAUGUAAAAGCAUCAGAAAAAGAAGCAGAUGGCCAACGUGUAUCCAGUUUGAAGAACCUUAUUAACAUUUAUAAAGCGGCUAUUCUUCUAGGAGAUGAGAGGACUGUAUUGGACGUUGAGGCUAGGAUAAUGAUUAUUGAAAAUGAGAAUACUCAAUUAAUCCAGAAAGUUUCAGCUUUAUCAGCGGAAAUAACCUCUGGCAAGGAGAAAAAUAUUCGCUUGCAAGCAGAUUUUGAUAAUUUUAGAAAAAGGUCAGAGAAGGAAAGGCUUACCAUUAGGAGUAAUGCCCAGGGAGAAGUGAUUGAGAGCCUUUUGCCCAUGGUGGACAGCUUUGAAAGAGCCAAACGACAAAUAAAACCAGAAACAGAAAAGGAAAAGAAGAUUGAUGCAAGUUACCAAGGUAUAUACAAGCAGCUUGUGGAGAUCAUGAGGAGCCUGCAGGUGGUUGCUGUAGCAACAGUUGGAAAGCCAUUUGAUCCCUCGCUGCAUGAGGCCAUUGCACGUGAAGAGUCACAAGAGUACAAGGAAGGCAUUGUAAUUCAAGAAUUCCAGCGUGGUUUUCUUCUUGGAAAUCGGCUUUUAAGACCAGCCAUGGUCAAAGUUUCUACUGGGCCUGGUAGGAAGAAAGCCUCUCUCAGCAAUGAGCAACCUGCAACAGCAGCUAGAGUGGAUGACAGAUAGUAUAGCUGCAAAUCCCAGUUUCUGAUGGGGAAUUCUAUUUUGAUCCACCAUUGUUUCUUAUCAGCUUGUGAAGCUUUUGUUUAAUUAUCUUAUUCCUUUUAUAUUUGGGUAAUUAAAAAAAAAUGUUAUCCUGUGCUGUCCGGGCUCUAGAAUCCAGUUUUCAUGUCUUACAAACAGAUAGAGACAUUUUUGUUUUAGGAAAACAAAGUCGCUCUGUUGAUACAAGUAUGAGAACACACGUUAACCAAUUGGAAAUGAUGAUUCAAU